GUGCUGUGAGCUCGAUGAGUAGGGCGGGACACGUGGUAUCCUGUCUGAAUAUGGGGGGACCAUCCUCCAAGGCUAAAUACUCCUGACUGACCGAUAGUGAACCAGUACCGUGAGGGAAAGGCGAAAAGAACCCCGGCGAGGGGAGUGAAAAAGAACCUGAAACCGUGUACGUACAAGCAGUGGGAGCACCCUUUGGGUGUGACUGCGUACCUUUUGUAUAAUGGGUCAGCGACUUAUAUUCUGUAGCAAGGUUAACCGAAUAGGGGAGCCGGAGGGAAACCGAGUCUUAACCGGGCGUUAAGUUGCAGGGUAUAGACCCGAAACCCGGUGAUCUAGCCAUGGGCAGGUUGAAGGUUGGGUAACACUAACUGGAGGACCGAACCGACUAAUGUUGAAAAAUUAGCGGAUGACCUGUGGCUGGGGGUGAAAGGCCAAUCAAACCGGGAGAUAGCUGGUUCUCCCCGAAAGCUAUUUAGGUAGCGCCUCGUGAAUUCAUCUCCGGGGGUAGAGCACUGUUUCGGCUAGGGGGCCAUCCCGGCUUACCAACCCGAUGCAAACUGCGAAUACCGGAGAAUGUUAUCACGGGAGACACACGGCGGGUGCUAACGUCCGUCGUGAAGAGGGAAACAACCCAGACCGCCAGCUAAGGUCCCAAAGUCAUGGUUAAGUGGGAAACGAUGUGGGAAGGCCCAGACAGCCAGGAUGUUGGCUUAGAAGCAGCCAUCAUUUAAAGAAAGCGUAAUAGCUCACUGGUCGAGUCGGCCUGCGCGGAAGAUGUAACGGGGCUAAACCAUGCACCGAAGCUGCGGCAGCGACACUGUGUGUUGUUGGGUAGGGGAGCGUUCUGUAAGCCUGUGAAGGUGUGUCGUGAGGCAUGCUGGAGGUAUCAGAAGUGCGAAUGCUGACAUAAGUAACGAUAAAGCGGGUGAAAAGCCCGCUCGCCGGAAGACCAAGGGUUCCUGUCCAACGUUAAUCGGGGCAGGGUGAGUCGACCCCUAAGGCGAGGCCGAAAGGCGUAGUCGAUGGGAAACGGGUUAAUAUUCCCGUACUUGGUGUUACUGCGAAGGGGGGACGGAGAAGGCUAUGUUGGCCGGGCGACGGUUGUCCCGGUUUAAGCGUGUAGGUGUGUGUUCCAGGUAAAUCCGGUUCACUUUAACACUGAGGCGUGACGACGAGGCACUACGGUGCUGAAGCAACAAAUGCCCUGCUUCCAGGAAAAGCCUCUAAGCAUCAGGUAACAUCAAAUCGUACCCCAAACCGACACAGGUGGUCAGGUAGAGAAUACCAAGGCGCUUGAGAGAACUCGGGUGAAGGAACUAGGCAAAAUGGUGCCGUAACUUCGGGAGAAGGCACGCUGACACGUAGGUGAAGUGAUUUACUCAUGGAGCUGAAGUCAGUCGAAGAUACCAGCUGGCUGCAACUGUUUAUUAAAAACACAGCACUGUGCAAACACGAAAGUGGACGUAUACGGUGUGACGCCUGCCCGGUGCCGGAAGGUUAAUUGAUGGGGUCAGCGCAAGCGAAGCUCCUGAUCGAAGCCCCGGUAAACGGCGGCCGUAACUAUAACGGUCCUAAGGUAGCGAAAUUCCUUGUCGGGUAAGUUCCGACCUGCACGAAUGGCGUAAUGAUGGCCAGGCUGUCUCCACCCGAGACUCAGUGAAAUUGAACUCGCUGUGAAGAUGCAGUGUACCCGCGGCAAGACGGAAAGACCCCGUGAACCUUUACUAUAGCUUGACACUGAACAUUGAGCCUUGAUGUGUAGGAUAGGUGGGAGGCUUUGAAGUGUGGACGCCAGUCUGCAUGGAGCCGACCUUGAAAUACCACCCUUUAAUGUUUGAUGUUCUAACGUGGACCCGUUACCCGGGUUGCGGACAGUGUCUGGUGGGUAGUUUGACUGGGGCGGUCUCCUCCUAAAGAGUAACGGAGGAGCACGAAGGUUGGCUAAUCCUGGUCGGACAUCAGGAGGUUAGUGCAAUGGCAUAAGCCAGCUUGACUGCGAGCGUGACGGCGCGAGCAGGUGCGAAAGCAGGUCAUAGUGAUCCGGUGGUUCUGAAUGGAAGGGCCAUCGCUCAACGGAUAAAAGGUACUCCGGGGAUAACAGGCUGAUACCGCCCAAGAGUUCAUAUCGACGGCGGUGUUUGGCACCUCGAUGUCGGCUCAUCACAUCCUGGGGCUGAAGUAGGUCCCAAGGGUAUGGCUGUUCGCCAUUUAAAGUGGUACGCGAGCUGGGUUUAGAACGUCGUGAGACAGUUCGGUCCCUAUCUGCCGUGGGCGCUGGAGAACUGAGGGGGGCUGCUCCUAGUACGAGAGGACCGGAGUGGACGCAUCACUGGUGUUCGGGUUGUCAUGCCAAUGGCACUGCCCGGUAGCUAAAUGCGGAAGAGAUAAGUGCUGAAAGCAUCUAAGCACGAAACUUGCCCCGAGAUGAGUUCUCCCUGAGACUUAGAGUCUCCUGAAGGAACGUUGAAGACGACGACGUUGAUAGGCCGGGUGUGUAAGCGCAGCGAUGCGUUGAGCUAACCGGUACUAAUGAACCGUGAGGCUUAACCUUACAACGCCG
rnacentral:rRNA from 1 species